UUAAGUUCAGCGGGUAGUCCUACCUGAUUUGAGGUCAGAGUUCAUAAAAGCUGUCUCUGACGAGACCAUUAGAAGCUCUCCAAACGCUUCACGGUCGCGGCGUAGACAUUAUCACACCGACAGCCGAUCCGCAAGGAACCAAGCUAAUGCAUUUGAGAGGAGCUGACUCAAACGAGGGCCAGCAAAAGCCUCCAAUAGCC
rnacentral:misc_RNA from 1 species